rnacentral:tRNA from 1 species
GCGCCCAUAGCUCAGCUGGAUAGAGCGUCAGACUACGAAUCUGAAGGUUGGAGGUUCGAUCCCUCUUGGGCGCACCA